rnacentral:rRNA from 1 species
UCGGGAAUUUUGCUCAAUGGGCGAAAGCCUGAAGCAGCAACGCCGCGUGAGGGAUGAAGGCCUUCGGGUUGUAAACCUCUUUUCUCAGGGACGAUAAUGACGGUACCUGAGGAAUAAGCCACGGCUAACUACGUGCCAGCAGCCGCGGUAAUACGUAGGUGGCAAGCGUUGUCCGGAUUUACUAGGCGUAAAGAGCGCGCAGGCGGUCUUGUAAGUCGAACGUGAAAGCCCCCGGCUCAACUGGGGAGGGUCGUUCGAUACUGCUCGACUUGAAGGCAGGAGAGGGAAGUGGAAUUCCCGGUGUAGUGGUGAAAUGCGUAGAUAUCGGGAGGAACACCAGUGGCGAAGGCGACUUCCUGGCCUGUUCUUGACGCUGAGGCGCGAAAGCUAGGGGAGCGAACGGGAUUAGAUACCCCGGUAGUCCUAGCCGUAAACGAUGGACACUAGGUGUUGGUGGUAUCAACCCCGCCAGUGCCGUAGCUAACGCAUUAAGU